ensembl:lncRNA
GGGGGUGAUGAAUUAGGGGGAGUCUCUAGGCUCCACUCAUGCGUGGGGGGAAGUGGGAGGGACAGAGGUCACAGAGGGUCUCCCAGGAGGGAGAGGAACCGGGGGAGUGAGAGACGAGAGGGACCCGGCUGUGCAGCAACGCCUCUUGCUAUAAAUCUUGGGGGGUCCGAGCCGCAAAGGGAUACAAGCGCGUGACAGCCGCAGCCAGCUAGCCAGGGGACAGACGGGCGGCGGUGGCGGCGACGGGCUGCUCCUGGCGGGGGGGAGAUCCGGAGGAGCCUGGCUCGCCCAGGGCUGAGCUGCUCGCCCCAGACAGCGCGCAGAGAGCCCGGGCGGGACCUCCCGACUUUGCCAUUGCACCGCCAGCUCACCACGCGGGGCGCGCACCAGCCUGCAAGUUCCUGCUGCCUUGAUAUUUCCGGAACAUCUUUUUCACAUGUGGAAAAAAAGCAGCCAAACUCCUUGCCAGCACAAAGCUCCUCUAUCAUGAUCAGUAUUCUCCUGCAGUGGUCAGACUGCAACCACCUCCCAGUAUGACCCCAACGAGAUGCCAAGCAGUACCAGGAGAAUAAGUAACUGCUCUCUUGACUAUAAUUCCUCACAUUUUACAGCAUCUGAGCUGUUAUGUAAAACCUAUAGUGCUUUCUGAAUUUUAGGCACACUGCUAUGUGCCUAACAAUUCCAUCUCCUUCUCUUCCCCAGUGAACUUCAUAAAGGAUCAAUUCCUGUCCGUGGUU